rnacentral:rRNA from 1 species
CCCUUAGAUGUUCUGGGCCGCACGCGCGCUACACUGAUGCGUUCAACGAGUAUACAACCUUGAUCGAUAGGUCUGGGUAAUCUUGUGAAUGCGCAUCGUGCUAGGGAUAGAUUGUUGCAAUUUUCAAUCUUGAACGAGGAAUUCCUAGUAAACGCAAGUCAUCAGCUUGCAUUGAUUACGUCCCUGCCCUUUGUACACACCGCCCGUCGCACCUACCGAUUGAACGGUUUAGUGAGGGCCUCGGAUUGGUCUCGGCCCGCUCUUUACCGGGCGGCGCCGUUGGUCGAGAAGACGCUCGAACUUGAUCGUUUAGAGGAAGUAAAAGUCGUAACA